AGUGAACGCUGGCGGUAGGCCUAACACAUGCAAGUCGAACGGCAGCACAGUAAGAGCUUGCUCUUACGGGUGGCGAGUGGCGGACGGGUGAGGAAUACAUCGGAAUCUACUUUUUCGUGGGGGAUAACGUAGGGAAACUUACGCUAAUACCGCAUACGACCUACGGGUGAAAGCAGGGGAUCUUCGGACCUUGCGCGAUUGGAUGAGCCGAUGUCGGAUUAGCUAGUUGGCGGGGUAAAGGCCCACCAAGGCGACGAUCCGUAGCUGGUCUGAGAGGAUGGUCAGCCACACUGGAACUGAGACACGGUCCAGACUCCUACGGGAGGCAGCAGUGGGGAAUAUUGGACAAUGGGCGCAAGCCUGAUCCAGCCAUACCGCGUGGGUGAAGAAGGCCUUCGGGUUGUAAAGCCCUUUUGUUGGGAAAGAAAAGCAGCAGGUUAAUACCCCGCUGUUCUGACGGUACCCAAAGAAUAAGCACCGGCUAACUUCGUG
rnacentral:rRNA from 1 species